rnacentral:rRNA from 1 species
CAGCAGCCGCGGGAAUACAGAGGCCUCAAGCGUUGUUCGGAUUCAUUGGGCGUAAAGGGUGCGUAGGUGGCUUGGUAAGUUGAAGGUGAAAUCUCGGGGCUUAACCCCGAAACUGCCUUCAAUACUGCUAGGCUCGAGGACUGUAGAGGAGAAUGGAAUUCACGGUGUAGCAGUGAAAUGCGUAGAUAUCGUGAGGAAGACCAGUGGCGAAGGCGAUUCUCUGGGCAGUUCCUGACACUGAGGCACGAAGGCCAGGGGAGCAAACGGGAUUAGAUACCCGAGUAGUCCCUGUCUCUUAUCA